AAGCACGGGCGGCUGCUAUACAUGCAGUCGAGCGAAUGGAUUAAGAGCUUGCUCUUAUGAAGUUAGCGGCGGACGGGUGAGUAACACGUGGGUAACCUGCCCAUAAGACUGGGAUAACUCCGGGAAACCGGGGCUAAUACCGGAUAACAUUUUGAACCGCAUGGUUCGAAAUUGAAAGGCGGCUUCGGCUGUCACUUAUGGAUGGACCCGCGUCGCAUUAGCUAGUUGGUGAGGUAACGGCUCACCAAGGCAACGAUGCGUAGCCGACCUGAGAGGGUGAUCGGCCACACUGGGACUGAGACACGGCCCAGACUCCUACGGGAGGCAGCAGUAGGGAAUCUUCCGCAAUGGACGAAAGUCUGACGGAGCAACGCCGCGUGAGUGAUGAAGGCUUUCGGGUCGUAAAACUCUGUUGUUAGGGAAGAACAAGUGCUAGUUGAAUAAGCUGGCACCUUGACGGUACCUAACCAGAAAGCCACGGCUAACUACGUGCCAGCAGCCGCGGUAAUACGUAGGUGGCAAGCGUUAUCCGGAAUUAUUGGGCGUAAAGCGCGCGCAGGUGGUUUCUUAAGUCUGAUGUGAAAGCCCACGGCUCAACCGUGGAGGGUCAUUGGAAACUGGGAGACUUGAGUGCAGAAGAGGAAAGUGGAAUUCCAUGUGUAGCGGUGAAAUGCGUAGAGAUAUGGAGGAACACCAGUGGCGAAAGCGACUUUCUGGUCUGUAACUGACACUGAGGCGCGAAAGCGUGGGGAGCAAACAGGAUUAGAUACCGCUGGUAGUCCACGCCGUAACGAUGAGUGCUAAGUGUUAGAGGGUUUCCGCCCCUUUAGUGCUGAAGUUAACGCAUUAGCACUCCGCCUGGGGAGUACGGCCGCAAGGCUGAAACUCAAAGAUGACGGGGGCCCGCACAGCGUGAGCAUGUGCUUAAUCGAGCACGCGAGACUUACAGUCUGACAUCUCUGACACCUAGAGAUAGGCUGCUCAUCGGAGCCGAAUGCACGUGUGCAUGGCUGUCGUCAGCUCAGUCUGAAGUUAGGCUAGUCCGCACGAGCCACAUGACUAGUUGCAUC
rnacentral:rRNA from 1 species